CCUACGGGUGGCAGCAGUGAGGAAUAUUGGUCAAUGGGCGCAAGCCUGAACCAGCCAAGUCGCGUGAGGGAUGACGGUCCUAUGGAUUGUAAACCUCUUUUGCCGGGGAGCAAGGCCCGCCACGUGUGGCGGGAAGGAGAGUACCCGAAGAAAAAGCAUCGGCUAACUCCGUGCCAGCAGCCGCGGUAAGACGGAGGAUGCGAGCGUUAUCCGGAUUUAUUGGGUGUAAAGGGUGCGUAGGCGGUAGGUUAAGUCAGCGGUCAAAUGGCGGUGCUCAACACCGUACGGCCGUUGAAACUGGUCUUCUGGAGUGAGCCAGAAGUAAGCGGAAGGGGUGGUGUAGCGGUGAAAUGCAUAGAUAUCACGCAGAACUCCGAUGGCGAAGGCAGCAUACCGGCGCUCAACUGACGCUGAGGCACGAAAGCGUGGGGAUCGAACAGGAUUAGAUACCCGUGUAGUC
rnacentral:rRNA from 1 species